GCUCGCGUGGCUCAGUGGGCGUGGCCAAUGCGGCCCAAGGAAUAGGAGCCUCUCGGGAGGACCGGAAGAGAAUUGGCCGCGAAGAGCCAUAGAGAGGGAAGGAAGACCAGAGCGGACCCCCGUUUGGAAAAAACAUGGGCGCCUUCCUAUGCACACUGCAUGUGUUGGAAGAGAGAUCGGAUGGAGUUUUAAGGCUCGAGGAGCAACCGGAGUGAGAGAAUUGGCCGUCUGCAAGGACGUUACCCAAGGGACGGCCGGAUGUUUUGAUGUUUCACCAUCCUUGUGGGAGGCUUCUCUCAUGUCCCCGCAUGGAGCUGGAGCUGGAGCUGACAGAGGGAGCUCAUCCGCGCUCUCCCCGGGUGGGAUUCGAACCUGCCAGCCUUCAGGUCCCGCAGCAGCAUCCGAAGAGCCCGUUGAAGACCUGGACGAGGCAGAGGCCGAGCUCGGCCAGGGCGGCGCCCAGGAGCAGCGCGAAGAGCACCACGUUGAACUCCACCACGCCCUCCGGCAGCAGGCACCGCCCCCACUGGGACCGGUCCAGCAGGCGUGAAGAUUCCCACAGACAGGAAGUCAGAAGACGUUUCCUUCUUGGGCGGAGAGCCAUGGCCAAGCUGGACACAAGAGUGAAGAGCAGAGGCUUCACAAUGGCCACGAAGGAAGGAAGGUCCGCAUAGUCAAAGCCAUGGUAUUCCCCACAGGAACCUAUGGAUGCGAGAGCUGGACCACAAGGAAGACUGAGCGAAGGAAGGAAAAUAGACGCUUGUGAACUGUGGUGUUGGAGGAAAAUCCUGAGCUUGCCUUGGACCUUGGCAAGAAGAUCCAACCAGUCCAUCCUCCAGGAAAUCAUGCCCACUGGCUGCUCACUGGAGGGAAGGAUACAAGAGGCAAAGGUGAAGUCCUUUGGCCACAUCAUGAGAAGACAGGAAAGCUUGGAGAAGAUCAUGGUGCUGGGGAAAUGGAAGGAAAAAGGAAGAGCGGCCGACCAAGGGCAAGGCAGGUGGGUGGGUGGGAUCCUUGAAGGGACGGGUUCCACCUUGAAGGAGCUGCGGGUGGACACCGCAGACAGGGAGCUCUGGCCUGGGGUGGUCCAGGAGGUCACCAAGAGCAGAAGCGACUGAACAAAUAAACAACAUAGAGCAGGCCUGGGCCAAAUUUGGCCCUCCCUCCAGGUGUUUUGGACUCCAACUCCCACCAUUCCUAAUGGCCAGUAGGAAGCCCAGCCUUAGCUUCUGUGUGCCCCGGAAUCAUUACUAUUGUUAUUUGAUGCACAAGAUGAGUCCACAGCAAACAAGACCACCCUGCUGGCUUUUGUCUUGGAUCCCAUGUCAGACCCUUCCCAAGUGUCUAGGGCUGUAUGAUGUAUCGGCAAAAAAUGCGUGCAGAUCUAAGUCUUUUCCAGCUGAACAGGUGAUGAUUUGGUCAGUGCCAAUUGUGUUUAAGUGCAGGUCUUCAGGCCCUGCACCCAGAGUGCCCAUCACCACUGGGACCACCUUGACUGGCUUGUAUCAGAGUCUUUGCAGUUCAGUCUUUAAAUCCUCGUAUCAUGUCAGCUUUCCCAAUUGUUUCUCAUUUAUUUAUUUAUUUAUUUGCAGCAUUUAUAUUCUGCCCUUCUCACCCAUAAGGGGACUCAGGGCGGAUCGCAGAACAUAUACAUGGCAAACCUUCAAUGCCGUUCAACAUACAGGACCGACAACAGACAGAGGUAUUUGUCGGCAUUUUUUCUAACUUCGGCGUCUCGGAGGUUGUGUAAAAAAAGGAAAUGGCAGAAUUGCCUGCGAUCAAAGAACAGAUGGGAAAAUGCGUGGUCAAGGGCUCGGCUCAUCAUACCGGCUGGAGCUGUUGCUUUUUCCCCAGGAGUCAGGAGUCUUGAGCUCCAAAAUUGUGCCUGUCUGAAUUUGGAAGUCCCAGAGACGUAGUAGUAGUUGUUAUUAUUAAUAGCCUGCUUUUCUCUCCCCGGGAGACUCAAGGGGAGGGGGCUGCACCCAAAAGGCUCCUGCGGAAAGCACCCCUGCCCCCCAACAGCCCCGCAAGGGGGUCCCUCCCUCGUGUGCCCCCCCCCACAACUCACCUGACCCCCUCCCCGGUGUUCUCAAAGGGGCGCCCCCAGUCCAGGUGUGUCCCGUUGACCAUGUACUGGCAGAGGGGUCCGUGCACCAGGCCCAGCAGGGAGACCACCACCGAGUAGGAGGCCCCCAGCACCCCCACCGCCGCCAGGAUCACCGACAGGAACAUCUGGAAGGAAAGGAGGGAGGGAGAGCGGUCAGGCCCAGCCCAAGCAUGGGUGUUAUGAUCUCCAAUCCUUGACAUCUCUGUUUGGCUGACAAGGAACAGAUGCCAGCCAUAAAACAGGCCGGCCAUAAAACAUCAAUUACCCUCUGGUACGUGGGAGCCCCUAUAUAUGUGGGCCAAAGAGAAGGUUCUGGCAUUCGGUACAUUAAAAAUCUGUUGGAAUCUA